ACGUCUUCAAUAAAUAAAAAUAUUAAAUAGCCUAAAAAAAAAGAAUACAAGUUUUAAAGGAAAUAGUUCAAUAACAUAAAUGGGAUUUCGUAAUAAAAACCCGAAAUCCGUUCUAGAAUAUUAUGUAUACUUAUUUUCCAUGAAGAAAUUAAGAAAAGAAAAACAUGGCAGAAAAAUAAGAAAAGUAAGCUUAAUUAUUGUGGUUUUACCAGAACAGCUUCCAGCCUCACCAGUCACCACCUGAACGGUGAAGUGUACUAUUAAGACUGCACAUUGAAAAACUUAAUAACUGAAGCUACUAUAUCCUGGUUAAAAUUGAAUUCAAAGAAAAAGCAAAUUAUAACAACAAGAUUUCAAAGUCAACAACUUAAGUUAAAGAAAAACUUUGCAGAAAAGCUUAGAACUGUGGUGCCAGUUUCUAAGAAAAUAUUUAGACAGGCUGAGGUAAAUAAUUCAAUAUCAAAUUUAUUGAAUUUCUCUAAUGAUGAUAUUUUAAAACAUACUGGUAAUGAGUGUGAAGAUUUAACGAAAUGCAUUAAUAGCAUAACAUCAAAUUCUUUACAACCACCUUUGUAUGAGCCUGAAAAUCAAGAAAAUGUCUUAAUUCAACAACUUCCAGCUUUAAUGCUUGAACCAACUCCACCUGCCUUUAGGACAAAUAAAGACUUUUAUAAUCUACUGAAUGGAAGUACUGAAAAUAUAAUACCAUGGGAUGCACUUUCAAGAGGGGUAAAAGGCCAGUAUGAAAGGGCUGCCACGAGAAUAAGAAGAAAUUAUAUUCAAUCUUACACAAGCUUCUUAGAAACUCUUACCCCAAUUGAACUUUUUAAUCAUUAUAAGCAUGUGACUGAUGUUUAAUAAAACGUUUUAAUUA